rnacentral:rRNA from 1 species
AGUCGAGCGAACAGACGAGGAGCUUGCUCCUCUGACGUUAGCGGCGGACGGGUGAGUAACACGUGGAUAACCUACCUAUAAGACUGGGAUAACUUCGGGAAACCGGAGCUAAUACCGGAUAAUAUAUUGAACCGCAUGGUUCAAUAGUGAAAGACGGUUUUGCUGUCACUUAUAGAUGGAUCCGCGCCGCAUUAGCUAGUUGGUAAGGUAACGGCUUACCAAGGCAACGAUGCGUAGCCGACCUGAGAGGGUGAUCGGCCACACUGGAACUGAGACACGGUCCAGACUCCUACGGGAGGCAGCAGUAGGGAAUCUUCCGCAAUGGGCGAAAGCCUGACGGAGCAACGCCGCGUGAGUGAUGAAGGUCUUCGGAUCGUAAAACUCUGUUAUUAGGGAAGAACAAAUGUGUAAGUAACUAUGCACGUCUUGACGGUACCUAAUCAGAAAGCCACGGCUAACUACGUGCCAGCAGCCGCGGUAAUACGUAGGUGGCAAGCGUUAUCCGGAAUUAUUGGGCGUAAAGCGCGCGUAGGCGGUUUUUUAAGUCUGAUGUGAAAGCCCACGGCUCAACCGUGGAGGGUCAUUGGAAACUGGAAAACUUGAGUGCAGA